rnacentral:rRNA from 1 species
AUUGAACGCUGGCGGCAGGCUUAACACAUGCAAGUCGAACGAAGUGGCGAACGGGUGAGUAACGCGUAAUCAACCUGCCCUUCAGAGGGGGACAACAGUUGGAAACGACUGCUAAUACCGCAUACUGAAGGAGGGGCUUGAGUCUGAUUAGCUAGUUGGAGGGGUAACGGCCCACCAAGGCGAUGAUAAGUAGCCGGUCUGGGAGGGUGAACGGCCACAAUGGGACGGAGACACGGCGCAGACUCCUACGGGGGGGAGAAGGUGGGAAUCUUCCGCAAUGGACGAAAGUCUGACUGAGCAACGCCGCGGUAGUGAUGACGGCCUUCGGGUUGGAAAGCUCUGUUAAUCGGGACGCGGUACCGGAAGAGAAAGCCACGGCUAACUACGUGCCAGCAGCCGCGGUAAUAC